rnacentral:tRNA from 1 species
GCGGGAAUAGCUCAGUGGUAGAGCAUCGCCUUGCCAAGGCGAGGGUCGCGAUUCGGUGCGCCGGUCUGAUGGAGCGCCAGCCCGGCUGACGGCAGCCCCGUCGCAUCUCGUUUCCCGCU